AGUUUGAUCCUGGCUCAGGAUGAACGCUAGCUACAGGCUUAACACAUGCAAGUCGAGGGGCAGCGGUAUCGAAAGCUUGCUUUCGGUAGCCGGCGACCGGCGCACGGGUGAGUAACGCGUAUCGAACCUGCCUCAUACUCGGGAAUAGCCUUGCGAAAGUAAGAUUAAUGCCCGGUGUUUUCAGAGUCCCGCAUGAGGCUUUGAACAAAGAUUUAUCGGUAUGAGAUGGCGAUGCGUCCCAUUAGCUUGUUGGCGGGGUAACGGCCCACCAAGGCAUCGAUGGGUAGGGGUUCUGAGAGGAAGGUCCCCCACAUUGGAACUGAGACACGGUCCAAACUCCUACGGGAGGCAGCAGUGAGGAAUAUUGGUCAAUGGGCGGAAGCCUGAACCAGCCAAGUAGCGUGCAGGAAGACGGCCCUCCGGGUUGUAAACUGCUUUUAGUUGGGAAUAAAACGGGGCUCGUGAGCCCCCUUGCAUGUACCAUCAGAAAAAGGACCGGCUAAUUCCGUGCCAGCAGCCGCGGUAAUACGGAAGGUUCGGGCGUUAUCCGGAUUUAUUGGGUUUAAAGGGAGCGCAGGCGGACCUUUAAGUCAGCUGUGAAAUACGGCGGCUCAACCGUCGAACUGCAGUUGAUACUGGAGGUCUUGAGUGCACACAAGGGAUGCUGGAAUUCAUGGUGUAGCGGUGAAAUGCUCAGAUAUCAUGAAGAACUCCGAUCGCGAAGGCAGGCAUCCGGGGUGCAACUGACGCUGAGGCUCGAAAGUGCGGGUAUCAAACAGGAUUAGAUACCCUGGUAGUCCGCACAGUAAACGAUGAAUACUCGCGGUUUGCGAUACAGUGUAAGCCGCCAAGCGAAAGCGUUAAGUAUUCCACCUGGGGAGUACGCCGGCAACGGUGAAACUCAAAGGAAUUGACGGAAGGGCUUG
rnacentral:rRNA from 1 species